UCCUCUCUAUUUUCUUCCAAUUUCCAAACCCUACACUCUCUGCUCUUUCUCCUCCACCGACCAUCGUCGCCGGCGAUUCUCCUCCGUGGCUCCAUCCGUUCACCAUUCGUCCACCGUUAUUGAUUUAUAGCCUCAGAUUUGUGUAGGCUAAUUGAAUUGAUUCGAAAUAUUUUCAAACUGGGAAUUGAAGCUGCUAGUCUCAAGUAUUGAGGACUAGAAUCAGAAUGGGUUCUAACGUAACAGAGAAGUAUACCCGUGCCAAUCGGAGGAACCGAUCGGCAAAACCCAACCCGGAGCAGGGCAGCAGCAAUAACAACACAGGCAGUGCUGGGCUUGAUAACAGUUGCUGUGCCGAGGAGCAUUUGGAGGUUGAAUGCCCGAAGAGGUUCAAUCUCAGUCCUUCAGUUAAGUCGUUGAUGAAGACGAACGUUGCAACAUUUGAUGCUGGGUUUAGGUCAACGUCAAACUACAAAAACCUACAAAAUCAGUCACAAGCAGCCUCAAGCCUUUUGCCUUCUGGGUAUUCUGAAUCCCAGAAUUCAAAAAACCAAGACGUUGUCAACUCUGUAUUAAGUAGAUUUCGGGAUUUAAAUCUUGAUGAGAGUACAGAGCAUGGGCAUCUCCAGAUGGAUAAAGAAGAUGAGAUUAUUGUGAGCUUGAUCCAUCAAAUCAAGGAUCUUGAGAGGCAGAGAAAGCAACAGGAGGAAUGGGCACAUCAAAAAGUAAUUCAAGCUGCAAGAAAACUAAUCGACGACUUAACUGAGCUCAAGAUGCUGAGGAUGGAAAGGGAGGAUACCCAAAGUGUGAAGAAGGGUAACUUCAUGAAGAAGCACACAGAAUUGGAGAAUGCUCUCCGUAAAGCACGUGGUGAAGUGGACCGUAUCAAGUCUGCAGUGAGAAAGCUUGAGACUGAGAAUGCAGAAGUUAGAGCAGAAAUCGAGGCAUGUAAACUGACUGAAUCAGAAUCUGCAACAACUUCUAUGGAGUUUGCGAAGAGGGAGAAGAAAUGGCUGAAAAAGAUUUCAGCUUUGGAGAAACAGAGAACUAAACUACAGGAGGAUAUUGCAGCUCAGAAACAGAAGUGUUCAGACUUGGCAGAACAGCUGGCUCAGGAUGAGGCAGAUCAAAAGAAAGAUGAGGAAAACUGGUGCAAUGAACAGGCAGCCAAGGAGGUAGCCCGGACCCAAAUAGAGGAAGAACAGAAGUUCAAAGAGGCUGCCGAGGCUGGUUACAAAAGGAAGCUGGAGGCUCUGCGCCUCAAGGUAGAAUUGGACAUCCAGAGGCUGAAAGAUGACCUCCAACACCUUGAACACGAUCUUUCGAUGCUGAAAUCAUCUGAGCUGAGUGCUGAUAGGGAAUGCAUUCUCUGCUUGAAGGAUGAGGCGUCUGUUGUCUUUCUCCCCUGUGCUCACCUCGCUGUGUGUGCCGACUGCAACAAGAGCUACGGGAAGAAGGGCAGAGCUGCAUGUCCAUGCUGUCGCGUCCCUAUUGAACAGAGAUUCCCGGUCUUUGGCGUGACCUCCUAGCAUCCUCGUCUGCUUCUUGUUGAUCUGAAGAAAGCAUAAUUGAAAUCAACCCUUGAAAAACUAACUCAAGAACAGUCAAAAAACUUUACAGACACAACUUGUAAACUUUACAUUGUUAUCACUUUCUUUCUACAUUAAAACUUUACAGAUCCUUGAAAGUAACUUUUGACAAUGUAAAGUUACUAACUCAAGAAACUUUACAGACCCUUGAGUUAGUAACUUUACAUUUUUAUUGCUAUACGAAUCAGUAUUAUAUUAUCACUUCUAUCUGUGCAUAUUCUGUGCAAAUUCUGUGCGGCCUAAGCUGAUAAAUAUCUCAGUAAAUAUUGUACCUGUUUGUGUUUGACAGGAUAAGUGGUGCAAGAAACAGGCAGCCAAGGAGGUAUCCCUCACACAAGUAGAGGAAGAACAGAGAAUGCAGAAUUGGAGAAUACUCUCCGUAAAGCAAGUAGUGAAGUGGACCGUGUCAAUUCUGCUGUGAGAAAGCUUGAGACUGAGAAUGCAGAAAUUGAGGCAUAUGAACUGAGUGCAUCAGAAUCUAUAACAACUUCUAUGGAGGUUAAGAAGAGGGAGAAGAAAUGCCUGAAAGAUUUCAGCUAGGGAGAAACAGAUAUUUAAGCUUCAGGAGGAUAUUGCAGCUCAGAAACAGAAGUUUUCAGACUUAGCAGAACAGCUGGCUCAGGAUGAGGCAGAUCAAAAGAAAGCUGAGCUUAUUGCAUUAUUUGAUAUUCAGAGAUGCACAUUCAUGAGUCAUUACUCAUCUUUCAACAACAUCUUAUGAAGAUUCAAGCAAAGGGGAAACAGAAUAGGAUUUAGAAUUCAAGCCAAAGGACGGGCAGGUAGGGAAAUGCUCAUAAAGAAUGUCUUACAGGCAAUUUGAUUGCUGAUGUUCAUAAUACCAAAAGAGUGCAGUGUCCUAAUGUUUGUAGCUUGAAACGGAUGCUCUUCUUGUUAUCCAGUGCCUGUGUAGUGAUAGCUUGAUUUCCUCUUUUGAUUUGGUUUGUAAAGAUGUUGGGAAAAUAGCCAAGGACUUUUCCAAAAUUAGCUUUCAGUUUGUUAUGCUAACCCAUAGGUUAGCCCGGGAAGCCCUUUUCAUGGCUGGUUGCAGGGAGUGGAAUUCAUUCCCCCCUAGCAGUGUUUCUGAUGUUUCUCCUCUGUUUUAAGUUAAUGAAGUUGGUGUUUGUUUAAAAA